AGGACUUGUGACACAGCAGUAGAUGACCAGGACAGCUGUAACGGGCAUUCCUUCCCACCCUCUCUUUCCCUAUCUGGGUAACUCUUGUUUUUUGUUUUGCGAGGUUCGGCUCUAAUCACCACCUCUGGGAAGCCUUCUCUGACCUCUAAGGCGGGGUGAGGGGCCGUCCUCUGGACUUCUGAGCCCCUGUGCAUCCCUCCAGGGCCUAUGUCACUAUCUGAUGUCCCCAUCCAUACUUGCAUGGGCAGUGACUGUAUUUUUCAUCUUACCAGUGGCUAGGACAAAGCUAGAAAAGAAAAUAGGGGUUGGUCAAUUAUGUGGAAGAAACUACUUCCUUAGCAGAGCAGGGGCUAAGCAGUCAAGCAGUGGCCGGAACAUGGCAGAGAGAGUCAAAGUGGGCUUAGGCAAGCCUGGUUUCUUAUCCCAGCCGGGCAGCCUCAGGCAGGUCACCAAACUUUUCUGUGUCCAGUUUCUGGAACACGAUGAUGUUAUUGGUGCUGUCAAAGAAAAAGUCUCAAAAAAAAAAGAGUUCCCGUCGUGGCUCAGUGGUUAACAAAUCCAACUAGAAACCAUGAGCAGGUCCACAUGUAGAUACUAGGCAGGUUCAUUACUGCUGAGGCACAAUAUAAACUCCCAGGAAUUCCUCUUUUAUUAAUAAAAAACAAGACAUGGUUUAUCUAUAGAUGCGAAGCUUUUGGAGUUUGUACUUCAAGGCUUUUUGUAGUUCUUUCUAGUUUAUAGUUAUCUUUUCAAUAACUCCUAUUUUUAUUUUUAAUUUAUACCUUUUUUUUUUGUCUUUUUAGGGCCUCAAACCUGCGUCCUCAUGGAUACUAGUCAAAUUUGUUUCCCCUGAGCCAGGACAGGAACUCCCUUCGAGGAUAUUUGUUUGUUUGAUUGUUUCAUUCUGCUUUUUUUUUUUUUCUAGGGCCACACCCACAGCGUGUGGAGGCUCACAAGCUAGGGGUCCAGUCGGAGCUGUCGCCGCCAGCCUAUACCGUAGCCACAGCCACGCAGGAUCUGAGCUGCAUCUGCACCCUACGCCACAGCUCGCAGCAACACUGGAUCCCCAACCCACUGAACCAGGCCAGGGAUCGAAUUGCAACCUCAUGGUUCCUAGUCAGGUUCAUUAACCACUGAGCCAUGACAGGAACUCCGCUUCAAGGAUAUUUGGAAGCAUCUAUAUUUAUGGCCCAUCUCAGAAUGCAAAGGGUUUUAGAAAUGUAAACCUCUUUGCUUUUUGGAGUGUAAAUAUUUGGGGGCUUAGGAGUCUGAUGCAUCUGUGUGCGACAGAGCUGGUCUCAGCAGGCACCUCACUGGGCUCUCAUAAGGGGAUUUCUUUCACGGAACCGUCUUUGGUAUGUAGCAGGUGUUCGUAGGUGUUAGUCAUUGCCGUUACUGUCUGUAUCACUGCCAUCAUCAGAGCCUGACAAGGCAAGGCUUCCAGGCCUCGCACUGCCAUGAAAGAGUUGGGCGGAGCAAGGCCUGUGCGUUGGGUCUCUGAGCCUCAGUUCCUGAGUGGGCAACAUGAAAAUUGAUGCCCGCUUCAAGGGUUGCUGUGACCGUUACACCAGUGUGGAUGGGAAAGCAGUUGUUUCAAGAAGCAUCAAAGGUUAAUAAUACCUGGAACAUUUUCCAGAAGAAAGUUAAAUACAGGAUGGCCUGAUGCGUUCCCCAUAGGGUGUACUCUUCGCUUCCGUUUCAUUCGUGUUCAACAAGAUGCGCGUUCAGGCCAUGCUCCAUUUCUGCAGCAAAAAAGGCACUUUGCAGCCAUAUUCUUUGCACGUGAUGCUGAGUAGUAUUUCAGAGCCAGGCUUUAGAAACUUCAAGGCCUGGGAGUUCCUUCGUGGCUCUGGUUAACGAACCCGACUAGGAUCCAUGAGGACUCAGGUUUGAUCCCUGGCCUUGCUCAGUGGGUUAAGGAUCUGGCGUUGCUAUGAGCUGUGGUGUAGGUCACAGACAUGGCUUGGAUCCCAUCAUUUUGCUGUGGCUGUGGCAUAGGGUGGCAGCUGCAGCUCCGAUUUGACCCCUAUCCUGGGAACUUCCAUAUGCCUCUGGUAUGGCCCUAAAAAGACCAAAAAAAAAUUAGCAAAGGAGUUCCUGCUGCAGUGCAAUGAGAUUUAAGUGUCUGCAGCACCAGGACACAGGUUCAACUCCCUGCCCCUCAGAGAGGGCUAAAGGAUCCAGCAUUACCGAAGCUUCAGCGUAGGUCAGCUUCAACUGUGUCUCAGAUCUGAUCCAUGGCCCGGGAGCUUCAUGCGCUGCAAGGUGGCCAAAAAAUUUAAAAAGGAAAAAGUUCUUGUCGUGUCUCAGCAGUAACAAACCCGAUUAGUCAUGAGGAUGUGGGUUCAAUCCCUGGCCCGGCUCAGUGGGUUAACAUUCUGCUGUUGCCAUGGGCUGUGGUGUAGGUUGCAUAUGUGGUUUGGAUUUGAUCUCUAGUCUGGGAACUUCCAUAGCCCU
rnacentral:lncRNA from 1 species